rnacentral:rRNA from 1 species
AUACAACGAAGAGUUUGAUCCUGGCUCAGGAUGAACGCUAGCGACAGGCCUAACACAUGCAAGUCGAGGGGCAACAUGGUAUCAGCUUGCUGAUACCGAUGGCGACCGGCGCACGGGUGAGUAACGCGUAUGUAAUCUACCUGUAACAGAGGGAUAACCCGGAGAAAUCCGGACUAAUACCUCAUAGCACAUAUUAUUCGCAUGAAUUUUAUGUUAAAGAGACUCGGUUACAGAUGAACAUGCGUUCCAUUAGCUGGUUGGCGGGGUCACGGCCCACCAAGGCAACGAUGGAUAGGGGUUCUGAGAGGAAGGUCCCCCACACUGGUACUGAGACACGGACCAGACUCCUACGGGAGGCAGCAGUGAGGAAUAUUGGUCAAUGGGCGGAAGCCUGAACCAGCCAAGUCGCGUGGAGGAAGACGGCCCUACGGGUUGUAAACUCCUUUUACCUGGGAAUAACGGGCGCUACGCGUAGCGCUGUGCAAGUACCGGGAGAAUAAGCAUCGGCUAAUUCCGUGCCAGCAGCCGCGGUAAUACGGAAGAUGCGAGCGUUAUCCGGAUUUAUUGGGUUUAAAGGGUGCGUAGGCGGAAGAAUAAGUCAGCGGUGAAAUGCUUCAGCUCAACUGGAGAAUUGCCGAUGAAACUGUUUUUCUAGAGUAUAAAAGAGGUAUGCGGAAUGCGUGGUGUAGCGGUGAAAUGCAUAGAUAUCACGCAGAACCCCGAUUGCGAAGGCAGCAUACUGGGCUAUAACUGACGCUGAAGCACGAAAGCGUGGGUAUCGAACAGGAUUAGAUACCCUGGUAGUCCACGC